AGUGAACGCUGGCGGUAGGCCUAACACAUGCAAGUCGAACGGUAGCACAGUAAGAGCUUGCUCUUACGGGUGGCGAGUGGCGGACGGGUGAGGAAUACAUCGGAAUCUACUUUUUCGUGGGGGAUAACGUAGGGAAACUUACGCUAAUACCGCAUACGACCUACGGGUGAAAGCAGGGGAUCUUCGGACCUUGCGCGAUUGAAUGAGCCGAUGUCGGAUUAGCUAGUUGGCGGGGUAAAGGCCCACCAAGGCGACGAUCCGUAGCUGGUCUGAGAGGAUGAUCCGCCACACUGGAACUGGGACAAGGUCCAGACUCCUACGGGAGGCAGCAGUGGGGAAUAUUGGACAAUGGGCGCAAGCCUGAUCCAGCCAUACCGCGUGGGUGAAGAAGGCCUUCGGGUUGUAAAGCCCUUUUGUUGGGAAAGAAAAGCAGCAGGUUAAUACCCCGCUGUUCUGACGGUACCCAAAGAAUAAGCACCGGCUAACUUCGUG
rnacentral:rRNA from 1 species